rnacentral:rRNA from 1 species
AGUGAACGCUGGCGGUAGGCCUAACACAUGCAAGUCGAACGGCAGCACAGGAGAGCUUGCUCUCUGGGUGGCGAGUGGCGGACGGGUGAGGAAUACAUCGGAAUCUACUUUUUCGUGGGGGAUAACGUAGGGAAACUUACGCUAAUACCGCAUACGACCUACGGGUGAAAGCAGGGGAUCUUCGGACCUUGCGCGAUUGAAUGAGCCGAUGUCGGAUUAGCUAGUUGGCGGGGUAAAGGCCCACCAAGGCGACGAUCCGUAGCUGGUCUGAGAGGAUGAUCAGCCACACUGGAACUGAGACACGGUCCAGACUCCUACGGGAGGGAGCAGUGGGGAAUAUUGGACAAUGGGUGCAAGCCUGAUCCAGCCAUACGGCGUGGGUGAAGAAGGCCUUCGGGUUGUAAAGCCCUUUUGUUGGGAAAGAAAUCCAGCUGGUUAAUACCCGGUUGGGAUGACGGUACCCAAAGAAUAAGCACCGGCUAACUUCGUGCCAGCCGCCGCCGUAA